GUGUCCGGAGAGGCCAACGCUUUCAUUAGCCAGCAGGAAUGGGCUGGGGCGCGUUUGUAGUUGGGAAUCCUGAGCCCGGGCUGUUGCUUGGAGGACUCGGGAGCAGCAGUGGAUUUCGGCGUUACCAGGAGAGCUAUGUAUAGGAAUGCCGCUAUGGAAAGACAUCCAGGACACCUUGUUAAGUGAAAAAAGACAUGCCACCAUUAGGGCUUCAUUUCCCUGCAGUCUUCUUUAAAUACCAAAACUGCCCUGGGAAGGAUAAGACAUCAGUUUCUUCAUACUUCAGAGCAAAUGGGAUUGAUUCCCAGGACCUCCUUUCUGUGGACUGGGUUUUUGCCUCCUCACCAAGAGACUGGGCUCCCUGGGCGAGCAGAGGCUGCUGGGUUCAGUAUCUGAACACUUUUGCUAAAGGUCUCUGGAAAGCUCCCUGUGUUAAUUCUCGAUGAGACUACGUCUGUGCCGGCCGCUUCCUGAGCCUCCUUCCAUGUGCAUAGGCCUGCUGCAUGCUGGAGACCUGCGGCACAGCUGCCAAGUGCCCCGUGUGGUUCUGUGAUCUUGGGACAGUCACUUCCUCUCUGUGGUUGUCAGUCUUCUCAUCCCUAAGCACUCAAGAAGCCCUUCCUUCUCUGGCUGUCAAGUCUGGACUCAUCUCUUGUCUUACACACGGACAGUUGUUUUAAGGAAAAGCCCCUGGUUGGACUUGCAGAUUGGGCACAGCCCUGGACGUAUACUACAGGUGCUCAUCAAGGCUUGCCUCAUCUGUUUACCCUCCAGGUCAUGCCCCUUUCUACCUCUACACCCUGUUGCAUUGCGGGCAUGGCCUCCGGAAAAGUCAAGCAUGGCGAAAGGAAGCGUGGCCCAGAGCUGGCACGCCACAGGCAAAUGGAAUAAAAAGGCCUACCUCAUUGGGCUCGUGUGGGUGAGGAGAACUGAAGAGUCUGAGAGCGCGGCACGAGCCAGAGGCUACGGAAAACACUGCCCUCCUACACUCCACCUUGGAGAGACCCAGAAAAGAACAAGCUUCAUUUGUAAAAAAGGAAAACAACUCAGGCAAUGGGGGUGGCUUAAAGGCACUCUACAGUGUGCAGAUGCCUUCCACUUCUUCCAUCUGCCCUGUCUCUCCAAGAACCCCUAUGGCCCCGGUCUCAGAACAGAGCUGAGUGCAGAAAUGAAAAUCUAUGGCUCUGUGUUCCAAAACGAUGAAGAAUUUCAAGAUGGUGGCAGUGGUAAAAUCUUUCUCCAGGAAAAAUCUGUCCUUGGCCCAAUGUGUAAACACUUGCUGAGUAUUGUGAAACCAGCAACUUGUUCACAAUUCUUCUGAAUUUCUUGGGAAAUUUGAAGUGGAGUACCUGUACCAACAUGAAAUGACACGAAUUUAAGUGACGCUCAACAACGAAAAGCAAAAAGAACCAAAGAGGAAGCAACUGAAACAACAUCUGGAUGUAUUUAAAAAUAUACAAUGCCUCCAAAAUCAGGUGUCAUUAAUGAAAAUUCUGAAGAAAUGCCACCGGACAUAGCCAACGCACCUACGCUGUUGUUAUUCAUUUCCUGCUUUUCACAGAAAACAAUUUUGUUGCAUGGAAGAUCGGACAAGGCUGUUCUCUGAAGUUCCCUCAUCCACCUAGAAACCAGAUGGCCGAAGAGGAACACAAUUGCCUUCCAUCCCCUUCCUGAAAUUUCAUUAUCUAGAGGAUUAAAACCCAUAUCACAGAGGAAGAGAUUGAAAAUUAAACAUCACACCUACAACCCAUACUUCGGAGCACUGACCCAAAUUGUCUAUUUUUAAGUCCCAUUCCAUUUCCAAAGAUAAUUAUUUACUAACCAUUGUCUGGAGCAUUGGGCCCAUUCAUUCCUCUUAAAAAUCAUUUGCUGGGCCAGGAGUGGUGGCUUACGCCUGUAAUCCCAGCACUGGGAGGCCGAAGCGGGAGGAUCACGAGGUCAAGAGAUCGAGACCAUCCUGGCCAACAUGGUGAAACCCUGUCUCUACUAAAAAUACAAAAAUUAGCUGGGUGUAGUGGCACAUGCCUGUAGUCUCAGCUACUCGGGAGACUGAGGCAGGAGAAUUGCUUGAACCCAGGAGGUGGAGGUUGCAGUGAGCCGAGAUCAUGCCACUGCACUCCAGCCUGGCGAAAGAGUGAGAUUCCGUCUCAAAAAAAAAAAAAAAUUAUUUUCUACCCCUCAAAACAGCCACUUUCUCCUCCAUCUCCUCUUCCCUGAUGAAGAAAGGCGUAUGAGCAUCUGGACCUCAUUGGGUUUAGGUCAUCAUGUUCUUGCAAUUCCUGUGUGCUUAUGCACAUUAAAUGAAUUUGUAUGCCUUUUCCUCUUAUUAAUCUGCCUAUUGUAAAUUCAUUUUCAGUGAACUUCAAAGGGCAGAGGGGAAACUGUCCCUUGGCCUCUACCCCUCCAAGGCCCCACUUUUUUGUCAACACUCCUUGGACGCAGCAGAAGUAUGAACAUAAUAUGGUCCUGAAUGAGGCUGAGUCUUUGGGCGCAGAAGACCCGGGUUAAUAAAAAUAGGAAGGUAAGAAAAGAAAAGAAAAAUCAAGACACAUCAUAGGACUAAAUUCCUAUUAUUUAUCCACUCAGGAUUGACCACCCCUUUGGGCCAGAUAGUUGUACCCCCAUGUACCAGGUGGGCACAUGAAGACACAAGAAGUGCUGUGAUGGUUCAUUUUGCACGUCACCUUGCGUGGAGUAUGCCAACUCAUUGUUUGGUCAAACACUAGUCUGGACAUGGUGGUAAAGGUAUUUUUUAGAUGAGAUUAACACUUAAAUCAGUAAAGCAGGUUACCCACCAUACUACGGGUGGGCCCUGUCCAAUCAGUUGAAGGCAUUAAGAACAAAGAUUGAGGUUUCCUAAAGAAGAUGGAAUUCUCCUUGAGACUACAACAUAGAAACCCUAUCUGAGUUUCCAGCCUGUUGCCCUGUGGAAUUCAAACUCAGGACUCCGGUCUAUGACAUUAACCCUCACUUAACUUUUCAGCCUGCCAGCCUGCCCUAUGGAUUUCGGACUUGCCAGCCACACAAUUCCUUAAAAUAAAUC
ensembl:lncRNA DRAIC downregulated RNA in cancer, inhibitor of cell invasion and migration